rnacentral:misc_RNA from 1 species
AAAGGUACUACUAGCAAUAAUAAUACUGGAGGAAGUAGUCCACUAGCUGUACGGGAGCCUCAAAUGUGUCAUGAUGAUACAUUAUUUCUCACUAUCUACUUGUGUUUUUGGUCAAAGAAUUACUUCUGCUUAACUAGAGAACGUCAUACGCACUAACGUGCAAGUUGACGCGGGGGCCUCCUAAAAAGGUUGAAGAACAAAAGGCAUAAAAGUAAAAAUAAAGAGGGUGGGUGGUGUACAAGUUGCAUCUUCUGAAGCAGCUUCUUGCCCCACGCCAAUUUAUCAUCUUGAUUCUGUAAUGUCAACUAAUCACCAGAGACAUAACUUUUUCCCUCGUAGUACCUCUUCUCACUAGCUGCUUUCUUCUCAUUUCGCUUCUGGUAAGCCUCAUGAUUUGACACAAUUCUCCUUAUUAUUGUGCUUGUUGUAAUAUCUAAAGGACUAUCCAAUACUUGAAAAAUGCCCAUGCUAAUCGGUACAGCAUAGGGGUUACCCGUCUCCUUCUGAAAAUCAUUGUCCUCAGCUACUGUUCCAUGAACAACUAAAGAGAUAUUAAAUGUUGUUAUCAUAUCUUUUGACACCUCCCCUGGAGCACCAAUAAUCACUUCAUCAGCAUAGCGACAAGCCAAAACACUUAGGCUCCUUUCAUGAAGAUUCAUAAUGGGACGGUGUCCACCUCUAUUGGCACUUACAGUUUGAUCAGUAUGAAUGCCUACUAGUAGAAAGUCUCCAAGUCCUCGAGCAAGCCUUAAUAUCUCUACAUGUCCAGCAUGGAAAAGAUCAAAGGCGCCAUCAAUAUAGACUAUGCGAGCAUCAGGUCCAGCUCCCUUCGAAUUUGAAAAUUGUACAAUUCUACGAGACGUAGGAAGAAAAUGAGAUACGCGUGUAUCGCUCCCAGCACCACCGUCGUCAGAUUUUUGGCUGUGACCAUGGCUAAAUUGUCUCUGCAAGGAGGCAUGACUGGGGGAGUCAACAGUGGUCCUCUCUCUCACACAAAGAAGCAUUCGACCAACAAUAUCAGUGCUUGAAACUCCUUCUGUGCGCUUGAUCUGCUUAUAGCGACCAACCUUCUUAGCAAGGGCAUAAGCAUCAGUUCCAUCAGGAAGAAGACAAGGGUCAUCCCCAUGAAUAAUAUAGUCUAUGUUAUACUCAUCAAAUAGUUUCCUCAUAAAUUCUUCAGUAAUGGCAUAGGGGGCAUCGGAGAUGACUUCAUCCACCCACUUCACAGCACCAACCAUAAUCAUCCUCUCAUGAAGAGGAGUGACAGGAGGGCCUUUAUUCGCUAUAAUUUCCGCAUCGCUUACAACUCCAACAACCAAUUGGUCACCAAGAGCCCUAGCUUGUCGAAGAGCAUUACAAUGACCAUAAUGCAUCAUAUCAAAACAACCAUCCAUAUACACCCUUAUAGGUCUCUUCUUCUUCUUCGGCAAAACAAAUCUCAACCCAAGCACAGAUAACCCUAACACCGCUCCUCCAACAAUCCAUGUCGCAACGAACCGCGAACUCUGUUGCACAUUCUCCGGUCGUCCUCCUCCCUCUGAACCCAUUAUUCCAAAAAUUCCUAAAUUAUUAGUCCCUAACCUAACAAGAAGCCUGCCAACAUCCUCUAAUAACGCUAAUGAAUCAGACAGUUUUCUCCAGAAUCUAUGAGUUCCAUUCUAGACGAAAGCGCAAAA